UGCCACCAGGCCAGGACUGCAAGGUGAAGACUGCGCCGGAAUACGGGUACGGGGACCAAGCCUACAUUUUGCCCCAUCCAAUUGCGUUUGCUCUUUUGGCGAGUCAUAGACUUGCUGUAUGUGUGGCACGAGGUGACCGGCCUGCUGGUGGGGUACCUAUCCAUGAGCCUUCCUGAACACCCUGUGCCAGCAGGCCAGUUGCUGUUCGUGUAGCAGGAGGAGGUGACAGGCCUACAGGUGGGCCACCUGUCCGUACUGAUUUUCAUACUGCAAUCGGGGGUGCUAUCCGACCACCGGCUUGGUGAAGGCCUCGCCUGCCCAUAUGCGACACUGGACACCUGGUGCCGCAAGGCCAGGUACCCGUUGCCGACAUGGGAGGGCCGACUGACGGCAUCACUGACGACAACAAAGGACUGCAAGGUGAAAACUGCGCCGGAAUACGGAUACGGGGACUGAGCCUACAUUUUGCCCCAUCCAAUUGCGUUUGCUCUUUUGGCGAGGCAUAGACGUACUCGACAUCCCGCCAGAGGAGCAAGACCGCAUCCGCAGCUCCACCACCGGCCUCACACCGUCAGCUCUGGCUGCAACUUGCUGUACGUGUGGCACGAGGUGACCGGCCUGCUGGCAGGCUACCUAUCCGUGAGCCAUCCUGAACACCCUGUGCCAGCAGGCCAGACGUACUCGAC